CUGAUCUGAAAUUCUGAUCCCAAAUUCUGAUAUGAGUCCCUGAUCCAAAACCUGAUCCGAAUCCUGAUCCAAAUCCUGAUCCGUGUCCUGAUCCGACUUCUGAUCUGAGUCCUGAUCCAAGCUCAGCAGCCCAUGAGGGUGACAGGCGUGUGGAGGCCGAGAUCAUGACGCGUGUGGACGUCACACAGAUCACGUGUGUUCAGACUGUGUCCGAAUGUCACUCUGAGAGGAAGAAUACCAAA